GGGAGGGGUCGGGGGAUGAGGGCUGGAAGGCGCCCUGUCCGCACCUCGCUCUGGCGGCGGAUCUCUCCCGCUGCCCGUGCCCUGGGUCCCAGGAAGCGCCCUCGCUGUGUGACGCUAAAUAAGUGUGCACACCUCUCUGAGCCUCAGGGACUUAGAGCAAAAUGGUGGAGCUGGUACCCGGCUGUACGGCAAAUUGGGAGCGGCGUAGGGUAGCGCUUAAGAGCGAGGACUCUGUGGAGUCCUUACUCCGCCGCCAGAUAACUUCCGUAAACUAAGGAUAAUAAUAGUGCCACCUCAUAGGUUUGUUAAGAUUAAGUGAGUUAAUAUUUAUAAAGUGUUUAGAACAGUGUCUGUUUCGUGCUAAGUGCUAUUUAAGUAUUUGUUAGACUAACUACAGGAGGUCUCGCUCCGAGAUUUUCUCCUAACCCCCGUCCACCCCCAACAUUCCUGUUUGCCAGCCAAGCCUUGCUUUAGCACGGGCUGGGCCCUCUGCCUGAAAAUCCAUACCCACCUCUUCUCUGGGCUUUCGCAUCAUUCCUUUGUGAAGUCUUCUCUACUCCUGACAGGACAUGUGAGUCUAUGGCAACAGGUGCCACGUGCCAGACACAGGAUGAAGCUGUAGGCAGAUGAGAGCCUCUCGUGGAAUUGCCAGCUGAGUGGGUAAACAAACAACAAUGGGACAACGGUAAUACAAUGUGACUAUUGCCACAUGGAGUUUUGUUCAGGGUGCCAAAAACCCAGGGAGGAACCAAAGGAAGGCUGAUUCUUGGUGAAGGAACAGGAUCUUAAAGAGAGUGUAGCAUACGGUGGGAACAGCGAGCAUCAAGGCAGUGAAAGAUGGUUUGCAAUGGCUAGAGCACAAGGAAGGCUCAAGGGACAGAGGGAGUGGAGCCUGGAGAGGUCAGAGGGGUGGUCCAUGGAGGGCCUUGAAUGCUGGGCUAAGGAACUAGAACUUUCCACCAUAGGCAAUGGGGAGCCAUCGGAGGAUUGUGAGCUGGGGAGGGACAUGGUCAGAUUUGUGUCUUAGAAUGACAACGUGUGGCAGCUGGUUUGGGGGGAAUGGGCUGGAGCAGGAAAGGCCAGGCAGAGCAGCCAGGAGAGGACGAGACAUAGUCCAGGUGGGAGAAGCCAAGACCUAACUAGGGCAGGACAGGUGGGUGGCUCAGCAGGUGUGAGCACCUCUGGGCAUAAGAACCGAGGUCAGCGUGGGGCAGACAGGCUGCAGAGCUGGCCCCAUCAGGGCGACUGGGCGUUUUCAGGGCUUGAGGUCAAAGACAGGCUGAGGCAGGCAGGAGCUCUAGGAACUCUUGGCCUUUGGGCUGGGGUAGGCUCAAGGUCAGCAGAUGCAGCUGGGUCUGGGUCUAGAGACUUGGGAGGUCCACAGCAGGACUCUAGCCUGCAUGCAGAAAUCAGGGCAAAGUCCAGCCCCGGAAAAGAGUUCCCAGGAGCCAGGCAGGGUGUCAGAGCCCUGGUCCUGAAGGAAGAGGCUACAAGGCAAAGAGCAGAGGACUCCUGCCUCCAGUUCCUUUAUGUCAUGAACCACUUCCCUUCUAUGGCUACCUGUGAAGAUGGGCUGCGGAGGCACCUGGGGCUACUUUCUUGCUCAUGCUUCGUCCGUCUUCAGAUGAGGCUCCCCUCAGACUCAUCUUGAUUCCCAUCCUGGGGAACCGAAGUCUGCAUGGGGUCUGACCUGCCCCUGGCUCCAAGCUCUGGUGAGGAUGGACUCGGGCAUGGCUCCACCCGCAAAGUGUGCGGUUGGAAUGCCACAUUGACCGCCAGGAAGUUUCUUGCAAAGAUAUAUACACUUACAUUACAAUCCAGCAGUCCCACUGGUAAGUAUUUACCCAACAUGGAGGAGAGAGUAUGUUCACCCAAAGACUUGUAGGUAAAAGGCCAUAACAGCUCUAUUUGUAAUAGCCGAAGACUGGAAACGAUCUACAUACUCACUGACAGGUGACUAAAGAAACAAAUUAUACAAUGGGGCACUACUCAGCAACGAAAAAGCAUGAGCUAGUAAUGCAUGCAGCAACAUGGACAAAUGUCAAAGCCAGUUGAAUGAAAGAAGCCAGAAAAGAGAGAGAGCAUACAUAAUGCAUGUGAUUCCAUUUUUAUGAAAUUCUUGGAAAUGCAAACUAAUCUGCGUUGACAGAAAGCAGACCCAUGGUUAUCUGGGAUGGAGGGUGGCAGAGGGAUGACAAGGAGGAUGACCAAGGGGAUGAAGACCUUUCGGAGGUGAUAGAUAAUGUGCAUUAUCUUGGUGGUGGCGAGAGUUUCAAGUGCGUAUACAUGUGUCAAAACUUGUCAGAUUGUAUCAUUUAAGCAUGUGCUGUUUCUGGUACGUAGGUUAUACCUCAAUAAAGCUGUUUGAAAACUCUGAUGCUAGU